GAGCCCAUGGAGAGUGAGCUCCACAGAGGGCAGGCCAGGGACGCCCCUUUGUCUGCGAGCAGAGACACCCAGCUGCGUGCGGGGAAGGCGAGGACAAGCUGGGCUUCAGGCACAGGUGGAUCCAGGGCACGAGUGCAGACUCAGCAAAAAGCAAAACCAAGCCGCCCCAGGACACCCGAUUCCAGCU
ensembl:lncRNA